UGUACCAAUCAUCGUCAAGUAAUCAAACGUUAUCGCCAUCUGCCAUUUUGUGAUAAAUACUAGGCUUACUAAUUAGACUCUGGUUGAGCGGAUAAAAGUGGGAAAUGAAUGGUGGAGGUCGUGUUGAUCUAGCACAUGUUCAUCCUCGAACGUGGAGUGAGGUCUCCGACCACGCUUAGUCAUAACAACUCUACUAGAAGUGUGAUUUUCGCUUCACCGUUAAUCCAUUAACUAGGAUCUCUCCUAUCUCUGGUAAACAUGUGAAGUGCACCUUCUCAAAGUCUCUUUUGAGUGCUCCAGCAGUGUUGCGGAUAAUUGAGAAUAAAUCCAUAUACUUACUGUUGUGGCAAUCUUUUUCCCAUCUUAGUAGAGUUGCCUGGAGUUCUGUGAGUACUACCAGAUUCAUAUCAUGAUAUUCCCACCAAAGACUACGGUUGUUGUCUUGAAAAAUGUUCAUUGACUCUUGGGGAGGUAUGAAGAGUAUGAUAUCAUUGUGCGGAGAAGAAAUUCUACAAGGCACGAAGAGUAUGAUAUCAUUGUGCAGCCUCUUUUUAUUAGUCAUAAAUGAUGGCUGCUAAUUUUAAACCAUAAUAACUAUAGGUAAUAUAGGGUGAAAAAGCUUCCCACUAAUUUUCCUUGGAACUUUCUACAUCAAUUCAAGGUCAAAUUAUACUGUGUGUGUGAGAAGGCAUAUGAACUUCUAGAUUUUGUAGUAUGUGUCUGUCUAUAGUAGGAUUUCAUAAUUCUGAAGCAACAUGUAUGAAUUUUUCAUCCAUCAAAAGAAAAAACAUAAUUGUUUUUUAUUUUGGUAAUAGCUACUAGCUAGCUAUUAUGGAUAGUUUAUCUCUAAAAAUUAUUGUAGUACUAUACCAGAGUGCAGUGGACAUAGAGAUUAAAUUAACCCAUAAGUUUAUAAUGGCAUUAUGGAUUCAGUGUGGUACUGUGGUUCGAUUUAAGUUAUGGAGAAUCUUCAAGUAGAGGGUGGCUUGCAGGCGAAGUGAUUGCUUCACUUCAUUGUAUGAAUGUAAAAUUAAUUCUUGAACAUUUCUUAAA